rnacentral:rRNA from 1 species
AGUGAACGCUGGCGGUAGGCCUAACACAUGCAAGUCGAACGGCAGCACAGUAAGAGCUUGCUCUUACGGGUGGCGAGUGGCGGACGGGUGAGGAAUACAUCGGAAUCUACUUUUUCGUGGGGGAUAACGUAGGGAAACUUGCGCUAAUACCGCAUACGACCUACGGGUGAAAGCAGGGGAUCUUCGGACCUUGCGCGAUUGAAUGAGCCGAUGUCGGAUUAGCUAGUUGGCGGGGUAAAGGCCCACCAAGGCGACGAUCCGUAGCUGGUCUGAGAGGAUGAUCAGCCACACUGGAACUGAGACACGGUCCAGACUCCUACGGGAGGCAGCAGUGGGGAAUAUUGGACAAUGGGCGCAAGCCUGAUCCAGCCAUACCGCGUGGGUGAAGAAGGCCUUCGGGUUGUAAAGCCCUCUUGUUGGGAAAGAAAAGCAGCAGGUUAAUACCCCGCUGUUCUGACGGUACCCAAAGAAUAAGCACCGGCUAACUUCGU